CGAAAUGCAGAUGACCUACUCCUCCUCCCAAGGGCGUCUGCGGGAACAGUAGCACUCCUCCUCCCAGCUACUGUUCGGUUCUUUACGAAAGCCUGCCGCACCUCCUCCCGCGGCAGGCUUUUUCG
rnacentral:sRNA from 1 species